rnacentral:lncRNA from 1 species
UUUCAGACAGAUCACAUUCCUUCUUCCCUUUCCUCCCGAUUCUCUCUGUUCAUUGGAAGCGUUUCGUUUCCUUCCGAUUUCUCUCAAAUUCAAUCGACUGCUUCGACUUUGCUUCUCCGCUCGCUUCUUUGGUAAGGAUCUCCACUGCCGCUUUCUUUUUUUUUUUUUUCCAUUAAAGAUUCAUAUUGCAAAUCUUCUUCUUUAAUUUUUUCAAAGAACUCUUUAAUGUUUGUGGUUCUCUUAAUAUUCGUGAUUCUUUUACGAGAUAAAACAUAAAAUCAUGUUCUCUGAGUCAGAUCUGGAAUCCACCGUAACACUCAUUUAGGGAAAAGUCACCAAAAUCUAAGAUCCGUGUAACCCUUUUUCGGUAACAAACGACCAAUAAAAAAUAUUAAAAAAGAAACCCAGAAAAUCCUCUGUGAAAAUAAAAAAACGAAAAGAGAUCAAAACCCUAGAUCUGGAAAUAAGAAUGAUUACUUCUCCCUGGCUUUUCUGUAAUUAGGUUGUGUGGAGUUUUGCAUUUGAGAAUCUUGAAAUGAAUCUGUAAAAUGCAAUCUUUAUAAUGUUAUUAAGGUUUGAGCUCACCAUUACAACGUAAUGGCCUCAAACCCCAUGGGGGAGUCCUAAUCAUAAUGUAUCUUUGUUUUUUAACUGGGUACAAAUUGCAAUGGUGCUGGUUCUGCUAUUUGGGGUUUGAGGACUAAUGGAUUGUAUUAUUACGGGUUCUCUGCGUAUUAUUAUGUUUGUUAUUUCAAUUAUUCGGGGCUUAUAGUUGAAAUUCCAAUGUAUAUUAUUUUUAUUGGAUGAGAAGCUUAUUGGGUUCUAUUAUUAUUAUAUAUAUUAUAUAUUUUUUCAAUUAGUUGUACUCAAAUUAUGGGUUUUGGAUCUUGUGGUUGUAUUUCAUAUUACAAUAUGUAUGUAAUAUUUGUAGGUGUCAAGUCUGUUUAUUUAUCUUAUAAUAUUGUUAUUAAGUUUUGUAAUAUUUUUUACAGGUUGUAUAUAAUAUUUAUAAGUUUUGAGCCUAUUGGAUUGUAUUUUUAUUAUUUUCGUCAUGAUAUUACCCACAUUAUUGUAUUUGAAUAAUGGAUUUCGGAUCAUUUGGUUGUAUUCCGUAUUACAAUAUAAAUGUAAUAUUCAUAGGUAUCAAGCCUAUUGAAUUAUUUUAAUAUUGUUACGAAGUUUUGUUAUAUUUUUACGGUUGUAUGUAAUAGUUAUAAAUUUCGAGCCUAUUUCGUGUAAUAUUAUUAUUAUCACGAUGAUAUGACACACAAUAUUGAUUUUGAAUUAUGGGUUUCAAAUAUUUUAGUUUCAUUCAACAAUAUAAUGAAUGUAACGAAGCCCAUUGACUUGUAUUUUUUGUCUAUAUAAUUAAACUAUAUUCUUAUUAUUAUGAAGUUUAUUAACUUUUAUGGGUUUUAUAAGUUGCUAAACUCAGUUGUAUUAUUAUUAUUAUUAACGAGCACAAAUUAUAAUUUGAUUUUAACUAAGUUGAAGUGUAUGUUAUUUGUAUUGACAUGGAGCCGAAUGGGAUUGUAAUAAUAUUUUUGCGAUGAAUUUCAUUAUUGUUAUUAUUUGUGAUGUAUUAUUGAGGGUUGAACCGAAUUGUAAUGCAUAUUAUAUUUUUUUGAUGUGUUUGUAAAAUUUAGUUGCAUCUAAAAUUGUAUUGACCGACAACAAAGUUUAAUCUUCAAAUUUUAACAAGCAAAUAAGAUUAAAUUAAAACAUUAUAAUAUUAAAAAUGUUAUACUAAGACAUUAUCAAUUUACUUCUUCAAUUUGAUGGUAAAUAAGACUUAAAUUGAAAUAAAAAAUAAACUGAAUUUUGUUGGUGAACAUAAUUUCUUAGUUUGUAAAUAAGAAUGUUAAUUAUUUGACAUACAAGUAUAUUUAUACAGUAUAUUGUGCUAUAUCCAGUAAUUAUAAUGUAUAAUAUUUGUGUAAAACAAUUAUCGUGUAUUGGUUUGCUAGAAAAUAGUAAUAUAAUGAAUUGUAUUCUCAAUUACAAUGAGUAUUUUUUUAGUGAGAUGAAAGUUGACGUAUUGUAAUAUUUUUAUCAGAAAGUUUCACCUACAAUUCGAUCAGAAAAAAUGAGUGCAACUACUUGCAGUUCAGUGAAAAAAAGAAAAAUUCCAAUGCAAAAACGUGAAACAAAAGAGCAGAGAGCUGUUACAUUCAGUAAAAGACGAACGGGUCUGUUUAACAAAGCAGCAGAAUUGUGUGUUCUCUGCAAUACUCAGGUUGUAAUUUUGGUUUCUGCUCCUUUGGCCAAAGAAAAGUUUUAUACUUUUGCACACCCUAACAUCAAUCUUCUUCUCGACACAUUCCUCAAUAACCAUGUCUCUCAUCCCAUCAACAAUUACAAUAAUCUUUCUACUUCUUCGUCUCAUCAAACUAUGGAGCAAUUAACUCCUAACAAUAAUGUGUCCAAGACCAAGAAGAGAAAGAGAGAGUCUGAAGAGUUUUGGUGGGAAAAUGAAGACUUUGAUGUUUACCAAACACCUGAAGAGGUGACAUCAAUCAUCGAGAAGUUAGAAAAGGUGAGAGAAAAUGUGGCGCUCAAACUUCAAAAAUUAUCAACUUCUAAUAAUCAAGAUAUUAACAGUAGCGAUCAUCAAAACUAUCAUCUUGGGUGCUUUGCUGAAGAUAUAAUGAACAUUAAUAAUGAGUACAGUAAAGAGAGUGGUGAUCAAAGUCAGUUUAUGACAUCCGUUGUGUUUCAGAAUUUAUCAACUUCUACUUAUCAUGGUAGUUGCAUUGAUCAAAAUAUAGUGGACAUUGAUGGAUUCAAGAACAAUGUUGAUUUUAUGCAAAUGUUGCCUCUAAAAUCUACUAUGCUUACACACAAUACCAACAAUGGCAGCCAAGAUAUUGAGAAUUAUCACAAUGAUAUGGGUACUACAUUUGAAGCCCCAUUAUUCUUCUCUAAUGGCGUCGAAAAUUAUCAAGAUAUUAGUAGUGGUGAUCAUCAAAACUAUCAUCUUGGGUGCUUUGCUGAAAAUAUAAUGAAUAUUAAUCAUGAGUACAAUAAUGAAAGUGGCGAUCAGAGUCAGUUUAUGCCAUCUGUUGUGUUUCAAAAUUUAUCAACUUCUACUUAUCAAGAUGGUUGCAUUGAUCAAAAUAUGGUGAACGUUGAUGGAAACAAGAACAAUGUUGCUUUUAUGCAGAUGUUGCCUCUAAACUCUACUAUGUUUACACACAAUACCAACAAUGACACCCAAGAUAUUGAGAACUAUCACUAUGAUAUGGGUACUACAUUUGAACCCCCAUUAUUCUUCUCUAAUGGUGUCGAAAAUUAUCAAGAUAUUAGUAAUGAUCAUCAAAACUAUCAUCUUGGUUGCUUUGCUGAAAAUAUAAUGAAUAUUGAUCAUGAGUACAAUGAUGAGAGUGGUGAUCAAAGUCAGUUUAUGUCAUCUGUUGUGUUUCAAAAUUUAUCAACUUCUACUUAUCAUGGUAGUUGCAUUGAUCAAAAUAUAGUGGACAUUGAUGGAUUCAAGAACAAUGUUGAUUUUAUGCAAAUGUUGCCUCUAAAAUCUACUAUGCUUACACACAAUACCAACAAUGGCAGCCAAGAUAUUCAGAAUUAUCACAAUGAUAUGGGUACUACAUUUGAAGCCCCAUUAUUCUUCUCUAAUGGCGUCGAAAAUUAUCAAGAUAUUAGUAGUGGUGAUCAUCAAAACUAUCAUCUUGGGUGCUUUGCCGAAAAUAUAAUGAAUAUUAAUCAUGAGUACAAUAAUGAAAGUGGCGAUCAGAGUCAGUUUAUGCCAUCUGUUGUGUUUCAAAAUUUAUCAACUUCUACUUAUCAAGAUGGUUGCAUUGAUCAAAAUAUGGUGAACGUUGAUGGAAACAAGAACAAUGUUGCUUUUAUGCAGAUGUUGCCUCUAAACUCUACUAUGUUUACAGACAAUACCAACAAUGGCACCCAAGAUAUUGAGAACUAUCACUAUGAUAUGGGUACUACAUUUGAACCCCCAUUAUUUUUCUCUAAUGGCAUCGAGAGAUGUGCUACGUCUCUUUGUAUUGGUGAUCAAAAUUUUAGUUGGAUGAAUGAUAAGAUCACUACUUCAUACAGUCAAAAUGAACAAUUUUCACCGUCCUUCUCCUCCAAUGACUUGGAUCACCAUAUCAAUACUUCUUUUGAAUGGGAGUUCAGAGAUGAGAAUCCUUCAUUUCUUCAAGAUAAUGCUACUGGAUUAGUUCCACUAUUUUCUCAUAGUGAUAAAAGCAUAGACAAGCAGAAUUUGUCUGAAUCAAAUUUUAAAGAUAAUAAUUUUUCAGUUACUGGAGCAACAACUGACAAUGACUUGUUUCUUGGUGACGACUAUGUUAAUUCUUCAACAAUGGAGGAUAACACUGAAUUUUUUUCAUUGUUGGAAUAUUUCUUUUCUAGUUGAUUGUAAGCUUUCUCUGUAUUUCCUUUGCAGUGUAAUAAAAUGUUCUUGUGGUCUCUCAACUUUUUCUUUGGCAUAUUGAUCAUAAUAUAAUUCUUAUCAUCCACUAAAUGAUGAAGUAAAUAUGUACGGAAUCAAUAUUUAUAGUCAUCAACUAUGAGAUUAAAAAAAAAAUUCAUACAAAUAUUUUAUACUAAAACAAUCAACUGCAAACUUAAAAAUCUCCCAAAUUAACUUGAAUUAAGAGUUUAUUUUAUUUUACAUUUUAAAUUAAAUAGAUCUUAUUAUUUGGGUUCUUAAUUAGUUUUAAGUUUUUAAUUAAUUAUUUUUUAAAAAAUAUUUUUUUAAAAAAUUUAUUUAUUAUAAUAUAAUUUCAUAAUAUAAGGAUAUCGGCAUUUUAUUUUUUUAAAAAAAGAAUAUCAGCAUUUAUAAUCACUAUCAUUUUUUAUUUCUUUUUUCAGUUGAGGAAACAAAAAAUAAAUAUUAGAAUAUAUUCAAAAAUUANNNNNNNNNNNNNNNNNNNNNNNNNNNNNNNNNNNNNNNNNNNNNNNNNNNNNNNNNNNNNNNNNNNNNNNNNNNNNNNNNNNNNNNNNNNNNNNNNNNNNNNNNNNNNNNNNNNNNNNNNNNNNNNNNNNNNNNNNNNNNNNNNNNNNNNNNNNNNNNNNNNNNNNNNNNNNNNNNNNNNNNNNNNNNNNNNNNNNNNNNNNNNNNNNNNNNNNNNNNNNNNNNNNNNNNNNNNNNNNNNNNNNNNNNNNNNNNNNNNNNNNNNNNNNNNNNNNNNNNNNNNNNNNNNNNNNNNNNNNNNNNNNNNNNNNNNNNNNNNNNNNNNNNNNNNNNNNNNNNNNNNNNNNNNNNNNNNNNNNNNNNNNNNNNNNNNNNNNNNNNNNNNNNNNNNNNNNNNNNNNNNNNNNNNNNNNNNNNNNNNNNNNNNNNNNNNNNNNNNNNNNNNNNNNNNNNNNNNNNNNNNNNNNNNNNNNNNNNNNNNNNNNNNNNNNNNNNNNNNNNNNNNNNNNNNNNNNNNNNNNNNNNNNNNNNNNNNNNNNNNNNNNNNNNNNNNNNNNNNNNNNNNNNNNNNNNNNNNNNNNNNNNNNNNNNNNNNNNNNNNNNNNNNNNNNNNNNNNNNNNNNNNNNNNNNNNNNNNNNNNNNNNNNNNNNNNNNNNNNNNNNNNNNNNNNNNNNNNNNNNNNNNNNNNNNNNNNNNNNNNNNNNNNNNNNNNNNNNNNNNNNNNNNNNNNNNNNNNNNNNNNNNNNNNNNNNNNNNNNNNNNNNNNNNNNNNNNNNNNNNNNNNNNNNNNNNNNNNNNNNNNNNNNNNNNNNNNNNNNNNNNNNNNNNNNNNNNNNNNNNNNNNNNNNNNNNNNNNNNNNNNNNNNNNNNNNNNNNNNNNNNNNNNNNNNNNNNNNNNNNNNNNNNNNNNNNNNNNNNNNNNNNNNNNNNNNNNNNNNNNNNNNNNNNNNNNNNNNNNNNNNNNNNNNNNNNNNNNNNNNNNNNNNNNNNNNNNNNNNNNNNNNNNNNNNNNNNNNNNNNNNNNNNNNNNNNNNNNNNNNNNNNNNNNNNNNNNNNNNNNNNNNNNNNNNNNNNNNNNNNNNNNNNNNNNNNNNNNNNNNNNNNNNNNNNNNNNNNNNNNNNNNNNNNNNNNNNNNNNNNNNNNNNNNNNNNNNNNNNNNNNNNNNNNNNNNNNNNNNNNNNNNNNNNNNNNNNNNNNNNNNNNNNNNNNNNNNNNNNNNNNNNNNNNNNNNNNNNNNNNNNNNNNNNNNNNNNGCCCGCAGUAGGGCCCUAUAAAGGUGAUCCGUGAAGCUCCAGCACCUCAUAAACUUAAGAACAUAUACUAAGCAUAUCCAGAACCUGAGGAGGAAGCUCGCUGCUCUGCACUCGCUGCAUCCAUUGAUAACCAAAAAUUUCAGGAGUAUCGAUUGAAAGCAGAUCGGUGAUGAAUAGAUAAUAAAGCACCAAGGAUCGACAUAAAUUUGUUGGCUCAAGCAAAUCAAUUAUGAUAUUUUUUUGGAGGAAAUUUCCACUUUAACAAUCAUGAUAAGCUAGUGAGCUAAAUCACAUCUUACCAUUUGCCUUUAACAAAAUUUCCGUCUUCUUUAAUUACUCCAACAAUGCAUCUUAGCUUUUACAAGGUAUUAAUUAAUAACUACAUGUGAUAAAUACAGAGGACUUUUAGGUAUUCUUGAUUAGACCCUAGAAUUGAUCGGAUCCUAGAAUUCUCUUCUAGGACCAAAUAUCAUUUAAGUACCAUAACUUCAAACUACAUUAAAAAUUAUCCAUAAGAUUUUGAGUUACAUUCAAUAAGAUACUCUAAUCUUUAAUUAGUCUCCCAAUACAUCUAUCACCAUACAAAUACCUGAAGAAAAUCUCAUCCUUGACAAUCUAGCCAUGUAAAUGCUUCCUUUUAUAAAUGCCACCUUAAUUUAAGUUAGCAUAAUAAUUAGAAUGGGCUUUGCAAAACCUCCAGCCCCAUCCUCGUGCAUCAUCAUCUAUGAAAAAACCUAAUUGCCUUACUAAAAGCAAUUCACAAACUAAUUAAUAAUACUUAAUCUAUUAAUACAUCCUUUCUAGGAAAGCUUUCUGAAUAAAAAGAGCAAAUCCAUGUCUCAAGAAUCGAUUCCACAUAUAAAAUAAUUCUAAAAACGUUUUAUGUGUAUUAUCUAUCACUCACAUAUAAAAUUUGCUUCAUAUUCACAUAAACAACUCAGUAGUCAACCAAAUCUAUCAAUUGUCACUUAUAAAAAUUAUGACCUAAAAAUCCCUUCUAGUAUCUGUAUUCCCAUGUACUAGGUUAAUCUUAUAACUAGAGCAAAAAAGAUAAAUCACAUCAGAAUCCCGGAUGUAGAAACCUUACUCAAAUUUGGUCAAUAGGUAAAUGACAUUUGUGUGAGUGUUAUCUCUUGUGCACUAACAUGUAGUAACUGAUUAAGAAACAAAUUAUCCGCUUAGUGAAUCAACUUUGAUGGAGCCAAUCAAACUACAUGCUGGAAUUUUUCGGAUUUUAGACUCUGCCAUCGCUUUCCUCCAAUUAGCAGCAUCUCCCCACCUUUCCCCAACAGCACUUAUAUUUGACAACACCACAUAUCGGCCACAAUGUUUUGGCUGUAAUUCAAGGAGCUUCUUUCCUACUUCAUUUCCCAACUGAACGUCCCCAUGAAUCUUACAAGCACCAGAAAGAGCUCCCAAAACAGAGGCAUCAGGCAGCAAGGGCAUGCAAAGUACAAACUCAACUGCAUCUCUCAGAAGUCCUGCUCGGCCCAAGAGAUCAACAGCACAGCCAUAAUACUCCCUUACUGGUACAACACCAUAUCGACUUGACACUUACAGAAACAACUUCAAACCCAAGUCAACAAGUUUUGCUCGAGCACAAGAUGUAAGAAUAGCAACAAAGGUAACCUCAUUGGGGCAAAAUCCUUGCACUUUCAUCGUCUCAAACAUACAUAGAGCUUGCUUCGCCCUGCCAUGACAGGCAAGUGAAGAAAUCAUUGCAUUCCAAGUGAAAACCUCUUUAACCUCUAUCCGAUUGAAUACUCUUUUUGCAGUCUCCAAACAACCUGUCUUUCCAUACAAAUCUACCAACGCAGCCCCCACGACAGCGCUCAAACUGAACCCAUUCUUAACAACAUAUCCAUGUAUCUGCUUCCUUUGAUAAAGACCAGUUCCAUCUAAAUUAGCACAAGAAGACAGCACAGUAACAAAUGCAGCCUCAUUAGACUUUACGGAACCGCGGACCACAUCCUCGUGAACCAUAAUCUUUGCAAAAAGUGGCAAUGCAUCAACAAAGCGUCCAUUCAUCACGAACCCAUUAAUAACUCUCGUCCAUCAAACCACAUCCUUCCCGGGCAUGCUCUGAAAAUACAGAAAAGCAGAACCCACGUCUCCAUUCCUCCAAAAAGCGUCAAGUAAAACAUUACACGCCACAAUACAUGGAUGGGGAAUUUCCACAAACAUCUUACGUGCAUUGCGUAUGUCACACACUUCGGCGUCCACAUUCACGGAUGAAGUUUGCACAAAUGGGUCGCAUAAAACACCCCAUUUGAGAGCAUGAGCAUGGAGAAUUGGGCCAGAUGAGGGAGAGCAAGAAGCAGCUUUGAUUAGAGACGGGAAAGUGAGAUGGUUUGGUGAAAGUCCGUGUGCAAUCAUGCGGGUGAAAAGUAGUAAAGAAGUACAAGAGAGUCCCGUAGAGAGAUAAGAUCAAAUGAGAGUGUUGUAAAUGAGAACGGUGUUCCAUGAAGAAGUGUGGUUGAGGAGAGAGCCGCGGGUGAUAAGAAGGGAAUGAAUCUGUUUGAUCUGGUUGGGACAGUGGAUGAAAUGCUGGAGAAGAAGCUCGGGACUUGAAAAUCCAGAAAACCCACCUGUUACCAGAAGCUUUAAAAUCAAAACUUGAUUAGAUGCCCGUUCUUGUCCACCAUCUGCCCAGUUCGUAUAUUAUUAUUUUUGGAUCAAAUUAACAUUUUUUUUUUUCUCAUGUUUCUUUCAAUUCAUAUAUGUAUAUAUAUAUAUAUAUAUAUAUAAAUUUAAUUCCAACAAAAAAUGAAGAAAAUUCUUUUAUUUUACUAUUUAUUUUCUGUGUUUUAAAAUAAUAAUAAUUAUUAAAUUUGAUUAAACUUAACGAGGAAGAUUGAUUUAUUUUAUUUAAUUUAUACAAUCAUAUUAUUAAUAAAUUAAAAAAAAGUUCGAUUACAACUAUUUUUCAAUUUUUCUAAAUUUUCUAACGAAAAAAAAAUUCUAUGUAGAGAAAAUCUUUUCUCGACAUAGGUUAAAUUCGUAUUCAGUUUUUAAUAUUGUGUAUAUUCAUUAAAACUGAUUAUAGAAGAAUUAUGAAUUUAACUUGAAAAAAAUACUUUAACAUUAAUAAAAUGGAGAACAAAAUCAAUAUUUUAAACUAUAAAAUUUACAUAUUAAAAACUAGAAAAUAACCAACCCUAGCACCUAAAGAAAAGCAAGCGACAAAAUUAACCGUGAAUGUUCAAUUUAUUGACAAUCACAAAUUACCAUCUUUAAUUCAUUUAUAAUAAUCAUAAAUUACCCUCUUCGAAAAUUCUUAUAUUUCACUUCGGUCCUUUUAUCUUCAUUCUCCGUUAAUUUUCUGUAAGGAUUAAUUUGCAAUUGUUAUGCUUGCAACAUCAUUAUGAAAAUUUUCUGCCAUUGUGCAAUAUUUUUACAGUCAAUCGCUUCAGACUUUUCGAGUGUUUGACUCGAUCAUUUUAUAUGCAUAAAUAAUAUAGUAAUGCCCCACUCAUUUAGAGUGUUGUUUUGAGGUUGCAGAUUUUAGAGAGUCUUUUUAAGAAGUAUGAGAUUGUCAAAUACAUUUUUGUAUAAAACUUUAAGCCUUACAAGACUAGGGCAAAGUACUACAAGUUCAUCUAUUGUUGGCUCUGGGUGAUAAUAUAUGAAUGUUCCUGUAUAAGCCUAUGGGAAGUAAGUCAUGCAGGAGGUCAGAAGAAAGGGAACACACGAUAUGGGAUUUUGUCGGUAGCAAGAUUAUGGUGGACAGAUUGGAGCUACUAGCGAUAGCUGCUGUUUUCCUCAUACGACUUUACGUAUCAUAUUUUACUGUAUGUUCCUAUAAAUUUGCAAUUAGUGGGUAAUAGGAUAUCUGCAAUUUUUUACUCAGAAAAGAGUGAGACUUGGGUAUUUAGUGUUGCAGUUUUACUGUUUUGUUUCGACAAGGGAGUGCUUAGUACUGGUUCAAAUUUUGGGUAAAGACUGAACACUAGUUAGCUCCACCUUCUUGCAUGAUAUUAAUCAAGGGCUAUAUACUCUUCCAUUCUUUUUUUGUUCCUUUUAUUUUUUCUAUGAAUGAGUUGGAUGAAAUAGUACGGUUGGCUUUUAUAUAUAAAUAAUAUAUACCUUUAAUCUCUUUUGAUUUUCGGUACAUGAAUAUAUGACUUGUGAGCAGCUUCUCCUGAAGGAGAUUAUUGAAGCAGGUCGUCUCUUUUAUUUUAUCUUAUUUCAACUUAUUCUUCUAUUGAUCCGAAUACAUAUUUAAGUUGUUUUGUUUUUCUUUUCGAGAUUUUUUAUAGUUUUUUAUGUUAUUACUCCUCACUGAGUAUCCUAUUAUGGCAUGGAUUGGAAUAUAAUAAGUGAUGAUUCUUCAUGACUGCUAUCAAUGAACAUUAAUUAGGUAAGUUGUAAGGAGAUAUAUAUACUAUUCUAUUUUUUCUAUCCUGAGUUUGAUUUAUUAGGGGGAGUUUAGGAAUCAGAAUCCUAAAUACAUUAUGUCAAUGCGGAAGAGUCAGUAAGUUAGCAUUUUGAGAAAGAGUUAAUACAAUAUAGGAUUUACUUUUGCAUUAUCAAUACUGGUACUUUUAGUGGUAAAAAGUGUAAGAAAAUAGAAAAAACAAUAAAAUAUUUUUAUUAAAUAUUAGUGCAAUUUAAUUUGUUGUUUUAAAUUUAAUUUAUUAGUAUUAUUUGUGAUAUUGUUUCAAAAUUAUUUUUUAAAAAAUCAUAUCUUCAUAUAAUAUUUAACCUUCACCUUGGAGAAAUUAAAAUAGUGAUACAUUUAAUUAACUAAUUUGAUAAUAUACAUUCAAUUUAAUAUUUAUUCAUGCAGUCGUAUAAUUUAAUAAAUUAUUAAAGAUAAAAAUAAAGAUUAUUUAUUAUUAAGUAUACUCUUAUAAUAGCUUUAGUUUUAAAGUUAGAUUUAAUGGUUAAAUUUAAUUUUUAGGAAAAAUAAAUAAUAAUUUUUAAAUAUAUAUUUUGUUUUGGUUUAAUUUUAAAAAUAAUAUAUUUUUUUCUAGAAAAUUCUGUAAUUGACCAAUCUCUUUUUUAAUUUAAAUUUAUAAGUUUAUGAUUAAUUUAUUAUUUUUAUGAUUUUUUUUUUAUUUUUAAUUUGUUUGUUAUACAUUAUUAUUUUGCUUGCAAAUUAUAGUUAUAAUUAUAAUUAUAAUUAAAUUAAAUUAAAUUAAUUUAAUAGCCCAGUUUUUUCCAACCCAUAACCUGCAAACGACAGCGUUUUGGAAGAGGUUAUUGGCGGCAAAAGGGAAGGGUUUUAAGGGAAUUUAGAAAGGUUUAGGGGCAAAAUUGGAAAUACAGCUGUUUCCAACGGUCUUCUUCUCUCUAUAUAUAUUGCACCGACCACUCCAUUCUUCUCUCUCUACUCAGCUUUCAGACAGAUCACAUUCCUUCUUCCCUUUCCUCCCGAUUCUCUCUGUUCAUUGGAAACGUUUCGUUUCCUUCCGAUUUCUCUCAAAUUCAAUCGACUGCUUCGACUUUGCUUCUCCGCUCGCUUCUCUGGUAAGGAUCUCCACUGCCGCUUUCUUUUUUUUCCAUUAAAGAUUCAUAUUGCAAAUCUUCUUCUUUGAUUUUGUCAAACAACUCUUUAAUAUUUGUGGUUCUUUUAAUAUUUGUGAUUCUUUUACGAGAUAAAACAUAAAAUCAUGUUCUCUGAGUCAGAUCUGGAAUCCACCGUAACACUCAUUUAGGGAAAAGUCACCAAAAUCUAAGAUCCGUGUAAUCCUUUUUCGGUAACAAACGACCAAUAAAAAAUAUUAAAAAAGAAACCCAGAAAAUCCUCUGUGAAAAUAAAAAAAACGAAAAGAGAUCAAAACCCUAGAUCUUGAAAUAAGACUGAUUACUUCUCCCUGGUUUUUCUGUAAUUAGGUUGUGUGGAGUUUUGGAUUGGAGAAUCUUGAAAUGAAUCUGUAAAAUGCAAUCUUUGUAAUGUUAUUAAGGUUUGAGCUCACCAUUACAACGUAAUGACCUCAAACCCCAUGGGGGAGUCCUAAUCAUAAUGUAUCUUUGUUUUUUAACUGGGUACAAAUUGCAAUGGUGCUGGUUCUGCUAUUUGGGGUUUGAGGGCUAAUUAUAAUGUAUAUAAUUUUCAUUUAGUUUGAGGACAAACUACAAUUGUAUAAUGGAUUGUAUUAUGUUUGUUAUUUCAAUUAUUCAGGGCUUAGAGUUGAAAUUCCAAUGUAUAUCAAUUUUUAUUGGAUGAGAAGCCUAUUGGGUUCUAUUAUUAUUAUUAUAUAUAUUAUAUAUUUUUUUAAUUAGUUGUACUCAAAUUAUGGGUUUUGGAUCUUGUGGUUGUAUUCCAUAUUACAAUAUGUAUGUAAUAUUUGUAGGCGACAAGUCUGUUUAUUUAUCUUCUAAUAUUGUUAUUAAGUUUUGUUAUAUUUUUUACAGGUUAUAUAUAAUAUUUAUAAGUUUGAGCCUAUUGGAUUGUAUUUUUAUUAUUUUCGUCAUGAUAUUACCCACAUUAUUGUAUUUGAAUAAUGGAUUUCAGAUCAUUUGGUUGUAUUUCAUAUUACAAUAUAUAUGUAAUAUUCAUAGGUAUCAAGCCUAUUGAAUUGUUUUAAUAUUGUUACGAAGUUUUGUUAUAUUUUUUACGGGUUGUAUGUAAUAGUUAUAAAGUUCGAGCUUAUUGCGUUGUAAUAUUAUUAUUAUCAUGAUGAUACGACACAUAAUAUUGUAUUUGAAUUAUGAGUUUCGGAUCAUUUGGUUGUAUUCCAUAUUACAAUAUGUAUGUAAUAUUCAUAGGUAUCAAGCCUAUUGAAUUGUUUUAAUAUUGUUACGAAGUUUUGUUAUAUUUUUUACGGGUUGUAUGUAAUAGUUAUAAAUUUCGAGCCUAUUUCGUUGUAAUAUUAUUAUUAUCACGAUGAUAUUACCCACAUUAUUGUAUUAGAAUAAUAGAUUUUGGAUCAUUUGGUUGUAUUCCAUAUUACAAUAUAUAUGUAAUAUUCAUAGGUAUCAAGCCUAUUGAAUUGUUUUAAUAUUGUUACGAAAUUUUGUUAUAUUUUUUACGGGUUGUAUGUAAUAGUUAUAAGUUUCGAGCCUAUUUCGUUUGUAAUAUUAUUAUUAUCACGAUGAUAUGACACACAAUAUUGUUUUUGAAUUAUGGGUUUCAAAUAUUUUAAUUUCAUUCAACAAUAUAAUGAAUGUAACGAAGCCCAUUGACUUGUAUUUUUUUUCUUAGAUAAUUAAACUAUAUUCUUAUUAUUAUGAAGUUUAUUAACUUUUAUGGGUUUUAUAAGUUGCUAAAUUCAGUUGUUAUUAUUAAUUUUUUUUUAAAGUUGUGGGCCGAGCACAAAUUAUAAUUUGAUUUUAACCAAGUUUAAGCAUAUGUUAUUUGUAAUAAUAUUUUUGCGAUGAAUUUCAUUAUUGUUAUUAUUUGUGAUGUAUUAUUGAGGGUUGAACCGAAUUGUAAUGCAUAUUAUAUUUUUUUGAUGUGUUUGUAAAAUUUAGUUGCAUCUAAAAUUGUAUUGACCGACAACAAAGUUUAAUCUUCAAAUUUUAACAAGCAAAUAAGAUUAAAUUAAAACAUUAUAAUAUUAAAAAUGUUAUACUAAGACAUUAUCAAUUUACUUCUUCAAUUUGAUGGUAAAUAAGACUUAAAUUGAAAUAAAAAAUAAACUGAAUUUUGUUGGUGAACAUAAUUUCCUAGUUUGUAAAUAAGAAUGUUAAUUAUUUGACAUACAAGUAUAUUUAUACAGUAUAUUGUGCUAUAUCCAGUAAUUAUAAUGUAUAAUAUUUGUGUAAAACAAUUAUCGUGUAUUGGUUUGCUAGAAAAUAGUAAUAUAAUGAAUUGUAUUCUCAAUUACAAUGAGUAUUUUUUUAGUGAGAUGAAAGUUGACGUAUUGUAAUAUUUUUAUCAGAAAGUUUCACCUACAAUUCGAUCAGAAAAAAUGAGUGCAACUACUUGCAGUUCAGUGAAAAAAAGAAAAAUUCCAAUGCAAAAACGUGAAACAAAAGAGCAGAGAGCUGUUACAUUCAGUAAAAGACGAACGGGUCUGUUUAACAAAGCAGCAGAAUUGUGUGUUCUCUGCAAUACUCAGGUUGUAAUUUUGGUUUCUGCUCCUUUGGCCAAAGAAAAGUUUUAUACUUUUGCACACCCUAACAUCAAUCUUCUUCUCGACACAUUCCUCAAUAACCAUGUCUCUCAUCCCAUCAACAAUUACAAUAAUCUUUCUACUUCUUCGUCUCAUCAAACUAUGGAGCAAUUAACUCCUAACAAUAAUGUGUCCAAGACCAAGAAGAGAAAGAGAGAGUCUGAAGAGUUUUGGUGGGAAAAUGAAGACUUUGAUGUUUACCAAACACCUGAAGAGGUGACAUCAAUCAUCGAGAAGUUAGAAAAGGUGAGAGAAAAUGUGGCGCUCAAACUUCAAAAAUUAUCAACUUCUAAUAAUCAAGAUAUUAACAGUAGCGAUCAUCAAAACUAUCAUCUUGGGUGCUUUGCUGAAAAUAUGAUGAACAUUAAUAAUGAGUACAGUAAAGAGAGUGGUGAUCAAAGUCAGUUUAUGACAUCCGUUGUGUUUCAGAAUUUAUCAACUUCUACUUAUCAUGGUAGUUGCAUUGAUCAAAAUAUAGUAGACAUUGAUGGAUUCAAGAACAAUGUUGAUUUUAUGCAAAUGUUGCCUCUAAAAUCUACUAUGCUUACACACAAUACCAACAAUGGCAGCCAAGAUAUUCAGAAUUAUCACAAUGAUAUGGGUACUACAUUUGAAGCCCCAUUAUUCUUCUCUAAUGGCGUCGAAAAUUAUCAAGAUAUUAGUAGUGGUGAUCAUCAAAACUAUCAUCUUGGGUGCUUUGCUGAAAAUAUAAUGAAUAUUAAUCAUGAGUACAAUAAUGAAAGUGGCGAUCAGAGUCAGUUUAUGCCAUCUGUUGUGUUUCAAAAUUUAUCAACUUCUACUUAUCAAGAUGGUUGCAUUGAUCAAAAUAUGGUGAACGUUGAUGGAAACAAGAACAAUGUUGCUUUUAUGCAGAUGUUGCCUCAAAACUCUACUAUGUUUACACACAAUACCAACAAUGACACCCAAGAUAUUGAGAACUAUCACUAUGAUAUGGGUACUACAUUUGAACCCCCAUUAUUCUUCUCUAAUGGUGUCGAAAAUUAUCAAGAUAUUAGUAAUGAUCAUCAAAACUAUCAUCUUGGUUGCUUUGUUGAAAAUAUAAUGAAUAUUGAUCAUGAGUACAAUGAUGAGAGUGGUGAUCAAAGUCAGUUUAUGUCAUCUGUUGUGUUUCAAAAUUUAUCAACUUCUGCUUAUCAUGGUGGUUCCAUUGAUCAAAAUAUAGUGAACAUUGAUGGAAACAAGAACAAUGUUGAUUUUAUGCAAAUGUUGCCUCUAAAAUCUACUAUGCUUACACACAAUACCAACAAUGGCAGUCAAGAUAUUGAGAAUUAUCACAAUGAUAUGGGUACUACAUUUGAAGCCCCAUUAUUCUUCUCUAAUGGCAUCGAGAGAUGUGCUACGUCUUUUUGUAUUGGUGAUCAAAAUUUUAGUUGGAUGAAUGAUAAGAUCACUACUUCAUAUAGUCAAAAUGAACAAUUUUCACCGUCCAUCUCCUCCAAUGACUUGGAUCACCAUAUUAAUACUUCUUUUGAAUGGGAGUUCAGAGAUGAGAAUCCUUCAUUUCUUCAAGAUAAUGCUACUGGAUUAGUUCCACUAUUUUCUCAUAGUGAUAAAAGCAUAGACAAGCAGAAUUUGUCUGAAUCAAAUUUUAAAGAUAAUAAUUUUUCAGUUACUGGAGCAACAACUGACAAUGACUUGUUUCUUGGUGACGACUAUGUUAAUUCUUCAACAAUGGAGGAUAACACUGAAUUUUUUUCAUUGUUGGAAUAUUUCUUUUCUAGUUGAUUGUAAGCUUUCUCUGUAUUUCCUUUGCAGUGUAAUAAAAUGUUCUUGUGGUCUCUCAACUUUUUCUUUGGCAUAUUGAUCAUAAUAUAAUUCUUAUCAUCCACUAAAUGAUGAAGUAAAUAUGUACGGAAUCAAUAUUUAUAGUCAUCAACUAUGAGAUUAAAAAAAAAAUUCAUACAAAUAUUUUAUACUAAACCAAUCAACUGCAAACUUAAAAAUCUCCCAAAUUAACUUGAAUUAAGAGUUUAUUUUAUUUUACAUUUUAAAUUAAAUAGAUCUUAUUAUUUGGGUUCUUAAUUAGUUUUAAGUUUUUAAUUAAUUAUUUUUUAAAAAAUAUUUUUUUAAAAAAUUUAUUUAUUAUAAUAUAAUUUCAUAAUAUAAGGAUAUCGGCAUUUUAUUUUUUUAAAAAAAGAAUAUCAGCAUUUAUAAUCACUAUCAUUUUUUAUUUCUUUUUUCAGUUGAGGAAACAAAAAAUAAAUAUUAGAAUAUAUUCAAAAAUUAUUAUUAAAUAUGUCAAACUAUAAAAAUAUUUUAUAAAUUAAAGUUUGAGUGAAAACUAAACCAAGCAAACGUAAGUAAACACUUUACUAAAUAUAUGAAUUAAGCCAAUCGAACAAGCGAUUAAUAUAUUUAAGCUUACCGGUACAGAUUUUAUCCCAUAAUCAUUUUAGGGAUGAUUUAAAUUAAAAAUAUAUUUUUAUAAUAAUAUAUAUUUAAUUAAUAUAUUAUUUAAAUUAGAUCGAUUUAGUUAGAAAUUUAAUUAGACAGAAAAUUUAAUUAAAUUUUAAUACUAUUCAAGUUCGAUGAGAUUUUAGAUUUUAAAAUUAUAAGAUUAUAUCAAAAUCGAAGUUUGUAAAAUUCGCUCAAGACUCCAUCUAUUGUUACCCUAAACCGUGUUCAUACCAUAUUAGAAUUGAACUUUGUGAUUCAGCCGGUUGUUUGAACUUAUGAUGGUAUAGAAUCACACGGGUCCACCACCUUUAACUCAUUGAAGAAAAGCUAGACACAACCUUCAAAAAAUUUGAAAAAAGUUUGGAUGUAUCUUCUUUUAAAAGAAAUCAUUUUACCCUGUAAGUCUUUGUUUCUUUCUAAAAAUCUAUCUGGGUGUUACCAUGAAAAUGAUGAAGGCUGUGAAGAAGCUCAAAUUCUGGUCAAGAUCCAGGAAGAAAAGGAAGUACCUUGAGGAGCCCUUCUACCCUGUUCUGGCGCACCAUUGUUGUUGCCGUUCAUGCUCCUCCGUCCAGCCCUCAGCUCCACCAUGGCCUGGUGAAUUCUCAUAUCAGAUUCAAGCUGAUGAAACAGAAAGUGUAGAAGAAAGUAAAUUAAUCCAUUCAAAAUUACCUCAAGUAGACGAAGUUAUAAUCACGAGUAGGUCAAUGUAUCAGCAAUAUAUGGUUGAAAAUCCUGUGUAUGACAUGCCUGAGCCUGUUGUUGAGAUAGUUAGAAGAGAAAGAUCAGGCGGGUACGUUCUUCAGCUGGGUUCUUGUCUGAUCCGCUGCUUCUGCCCAUGUUUCAGUACAGAAGAAGCUCAGUAAAAAAGUGAUUUUGUUAAAUUGUUAGCUUACUUCUUCCUCUAUUUUCUUCUUUUUUUUUUCUUUAAAUUCAGCAAUAGUAAAAAUAUGUUUCUGGAUAUUUUUUUUUGUAAAAAUGCAUUGUCAGUCUUAACUCUGUUGUAUCUAAUAUUUUAACGUAAUAUAAACUUUUAAUAAAAAUUCAUACCUAACUUUGGUUGCAUUCAUACCAAGCGCGGGCAAGAAAGAGCCCCAGCCAACUCCGCUCUGGACGCUAUGAGCUUCUCUAUGCAAUUCUUUAUCUCUUUCUGACUAUUUGUUCUCUGUGUAUUGCUCCUGCAAAAAAGCCAAGCAAAUAAGAGAAUCAAUGAACAAAAAAGUAGUCCUCAAAGAUGCUCAGAUUUAAAAAUACGUAAAGCCGGUGAUUCCGAGUUAUAACGACCUUGCUUCCAGGGGAAAACCAUUCUAGCAUUCCAAUAAUUUUAUCUAAUUCUUCCGAGUCAUCCAAAUCAUCAGGAACAACAAGACUCCUAUAAAGCAUAUAAUUCUUUUGAUCUUACUAAUCCCCUCAUCAACAUUGUUCAACUUGUAUUUUUAAAUCUUGAUAAAUGACCUUGGUGUGAUGUUAUCUGGUGCACAAACAUGUAGUAACUGAUUAAUAGACAAAUUAUCCGCUUAGUGAAUCAACUUUGAUGUAGCCAAUCAAACUAUAUGCCGGAAAUUUUCUGAUUUUAGACUCUGCCAUCACUUUCCUCCAAUUAGCAGCAUCUCCCCACCUUUCCCCAACAGCACUUCUAUUUGACAACACCACAUAUCGGCCACAAUGUUUUGGCUGUAAUUCAAGGACCUUCUUUCCUACCAUUUUCCAACUGAACGUCCCCAUGAAUCUUACAAGCACCAAAAAGAGCUCCUAAAACAGAGGCAUCAGGCAUGAAGGGCAUGCUAAGUGCAAACCCAACUGCAUCUCUCAGAAUUCCUGCUCUGUCCAAUAGAUCAACAACACAACCAUAAUGCUCCAUUAUUGGUACAACCCAAUAUCGACUUGACAUUGACGGAAACAACUUCAAACCCAAGUCAACAAGUUUAGCUCGAGCACAAGCAGUAAGAAUAGCAACAAAGGUAACCUCAUUGGGGCAAAAUCCUUGCGCUUUCAUCUUCUCAAACAUAUAUAGAGCUUGCUUCCCCCUACCAUUGCAGUCCAAGUGAAAACCUCUUUAACCUCUAUCCGAUUGAAUACUCUUAUUGCAGUCUCCAAACAACCUGCCUUUCCAUACAAAUCUACCAACGCAGCCCCCACGACAGCGCUCAAACAUAUCCAUGUAUCUGCUUCCCUUGAUAAAGACCAGUUCCAUCUAAAUUAGCACAAGAAGACAGCACGGUAACAAAUGCAGCCUCAUUAGGCUUCACGGAACCGCGGACCACAUCCUCGUGAACCACCAUCUUUGCCAAAAGUGGCAAUGCAUCAACAAAGCGUCCAUUCAUCACGAACCCAUUAAUGACACUCGUCCAUGAAACCACGUCCUUCUCAUUAAACACCACAAUACAUGGAUGGGGAAUUUCCACAAACAUCUUACGUGCAUUGAGUAUGUCACACACUUCGGCAACUCCACCCUCACGCAUGAAGUUUGCACAUAUGGGUCGCAUAAAACACCCCAUUUGAGAGCCUGAGCAUGGAGAAUUGAGCCAUAUGAGGGAAGCAAGAAGCAGCUUUGAUUAGAGAUGGGAAAGUGAGAUGGUUUGGUGAAAGUCCAUGCGCAAUCAUGCGGGUGAAAAGUAGUAAAGAAGUACGAGAGAGUCCCGUAGAGAGAUAAGAUCAAAUGAGAGUGUUGUAAAUGAGAACGGUGUUCCAUGAAGAAGUGUGGUUGAGGAGAGAGCCGCGGGUGAUAAGAAGGGAAUGAAUCUGUUUGAUCUGGUUGGGACAGUGGAUGAAAUGCUGGAGAAGAAGCUCUGGACUUGAAUAUCCAGAAAACCCACCUGUUACCAGAAGCUUUAAAAUCAAAACUUGAUUACAUGCCUGUUCUUGUCCACCAUCUGCCCAGUUCAUAUAUUAUUAGCAUUCUUGUUCAUAUUUGUUAAUUACAAGAUUUUUGGAUCAAAUUAACAUUUUCUCAUGCUUCUUUCAAUUCAUAUAUAUAUAUAUAUAAAUUUAAUUCCAACCAAAAAUGAAGAAAAUUCUUUUAGUUUACAACUAUUUUUCAAUCUUUCUAAGUUUUCUAACGAAAAACAAAUCCUACGUUGAGAAUUUUUAUUUAGUUUUUAACACUGUGUAUAUUCAUUAAAAUCGAGUCUAAAAGAAUUAUGAACUCAACUUGAAAAAAAACUUUAACAUUAACAAGAUCGAAAACAAAAUUAAUAUUUUAAGUUAUAAAACUUACACAUUAAAAACUAGAAAAUAACCAACCCUAACACCCAAAGAAAAGAAAACGAUAAAAGUAUCCAUGAAGGUUCGGCUCAUUGACAAUUACAAAUUACCAUCUUCAAUUCAUUGACAAUAAUCAUAAAUUACCCUUUUCAAAAAUUCUUAUAUUUCAUUUCGGUCCUUCUAUCUUCGUUUCUCCGCUAAUUUUCUGUAAGGAUUAAUUUGCAAUCGUUAUGCUUGCAACAUCAUUAUGAAAAUUUUUUGCCAUUGUGCAAUAUUUUUACAGUCAAUCGCUUCAGACUUUUCGAGUGUUUGACCUGAUCAUCUUUUAUGCAGAAAAAAUAUAGUAAUAACUCACUUAUUUGGAGUGAUGUUUGGAGAUUGCAAGCUUUAAAUAACAUUUUUAAUAAGAAUGAGAUUGUCAAAUCUUACUAAUUGAACAAAAGCUCAAAGUUCUACAUAAGGAAAAAGAGUUGACAGCCAAACUAUUACCAUAACUUUCGUAAAAUAUAUUUUUUGUGUAAAACUUUAAACUCUACAAAACUAAGGCAAAGUACAAGUUAAUCUAUUGUUGGUUCUGGGUGCUAAUAUAUGAAUGUUCCUGUAGAAGUCUAUCGGAAGUAAGUCGUGCAAGAGGUCAGAAGAAAGGGAAAACACGAUAUGGGAUUUUGUCUGUAGCAAGAUUCUGGUGGACAGAUUGGAGCUGCUAGCGGUAGCUGUUGUUUUCCUCACACGACUUUAUGCAUCAUGUUUAGGUGCAGAUGAUAUUUAGUAAAAAAUAUUUCAUCAGGAAAAAGUGAGACUUGCCUUAUAAAGAAUUUGGGUAUUGCAGUUUUACUGUUUUGUUUUGGCAAGGGAGUGCUUAGUGCUGGUUUAAGUUUUGAGUAAAGAUUAAAAAGUAGUCAGCUCCACCUUUUUUGCAUGAUAUUAAUCAAGGGCUAUAUGCUCUUCCAUCUCAAGUUAUUUUUCUUUUUUGUUCCUUUUAAUUUUUUCUAUGAAUGGGUUGGAUGAGAUGGUACGGUUGGCUUCUGUAUAUAAAUAAUAUAUACAUUUCAUCUCUUUUGAUUUCCAGUACAUGAAUAUUUGACUUGUGAGCAGCUUCUACUGAAAGAGGCUAUUGAAGCAGGUAGCUUUUUUGGUUUUACCUUAUUUCAAUUUAUUCUUCUAUUGAUCCGGAUACAUGUUUAAGUUGUUUUGUUUUUCUUUUCGAGAUUUUCUAUAAUUUUUUACGUGAUUACUCCUCACUGAGUAUCCUAUUAUGUCAUGGAUUGGAAUAUAAUAAGUGAUAAUUCUUCAUUACUGCUAUCAAUGGACAUUAAUUAGGUCAGUAGUAAGGAGAUAUAUAUACUAUUCUAUUUUUUUUAAUCCUGAGUUUGAUUUAUUAGGGGGAGUUUAGGAAUUAGAAUCCUAAAUACAUUAGGUCAAUGUAGAGGAGUGAGUAAGUUAGCAUUUUGAGAAAGAGAUAAUACAAAGUAUAAGAAAUUAGAAAAAACAGUAAAAUAUUUUUAAUUAAAUAUUAAUGCUAUUUAAUUUAUUAUUUUAAAUUUAAUUUUUAGGAAAAAUAAAUAAUAAUUUUUAAAUAUCUAUUUUGUUUUGGUUUAAUUUUAAAAAUAAUAUAUUUUUUUUCUAAAAAAUUCUGUAAUUGACCAAUCUCUUUUUUAAUUUAAAUUUGUAAGUUUAUGAUUAAUUUAUUAUUUUUAUGAUUUUUUUUUGUAUUUUUAAUUUGUUUGUUAUACAUUAUUAUUUUGCUUGCAAAUUAUAGUUAUAAUUAUAAUUAUAAUUAUAAUUAAAUUAAAUUAAAUUAAUUUAAUAGCCCAGUUUUUUCCAACCCAUAACCUACAAACGACAGCGUUUUGGAAGAGGUUAUUGGCGGCAAAAGGGGGGGUUUAAAGGGAAUUUAGAAAGGUUUAGGGGCAAAAUUGGAAAUACAGCUGUUUCCAACGGUCUUCUUCUCUCUAUAUAUAUUGCACCGACCACUCCAUUCUUCUCUCUCUACUCAGCUUUCAGACAGAUCACAUUCCUUCUUCCCUUUCCUCCCGAUUCUCUCUGUUCAUUGGAAACGUUUCGUUUCCUUCCGAUUUCUCUCAAAUUCAAUCGACUGCUUCGACUUUGCUUCUCCGCUCGCUUCUCUGGUAAGGAUCUCCACUGCCGCUUUCUUUUUUUUUUUUCCAUUAAAGAUUCAUAUUGCAAAUUUUCUUCUUUAAUUUUGUCAAACAACUCUUUAAUAUUUGUGGUUCUUUUAAUAUUUGUGAUUCUUUUACGAGAUAAAACAUAAAAUCAUGUACUCUGAGUCAGAUCUGGAAUCCACCGUAACACUCAUUUAGGGAAAAGUCACCAAAAUCUAAGAUCCGUGUAAUCCUUUUUCGGUAACAAACGACCAAUAAAAAAUAUUAAAAAAGAAACCCAGAAAAUCCUCUGUGAAAAUAAAAAAACGAAAAGAGAUCAAAACCCUAGAUCUUGAAAUAAGACUGAUUACUUCUCCCUGGUUUUUCUGUAAUUAGGUUGUGUGGAGUUUUGGAUUGGAGAAUCUUGAAAUGAAUCUGUAAAAUGCAAUCUUUGUAAUGUUAUUAAAGUUUGAGCUCACCAUUACAACGUAAUGGCCUCAAACCCCAUGGAGGAGUCCUAAUCAUAAUGUAUCUUUGUUUUUUAACUGGGUACAAAUUGCAAUGGUGGUGGUUCUGCUAUUUGGGGUUUGAGGACUAAUUAUAAUGUAUAUAAUUUUUAUUUAGUUUGAGGACAAACUACAAUUGUAUAAUGGAUUGUAUUAUUACAGGUUCUCUGCGUAUUAUUAUGUUUGUUAUUUCAAUUAUUCAGGAUUUAGAGUUAAAAUUCCAAUGUAUAUCAAUUUUUAUUGGAUGAGAAGCCUAUUAGGUUCUAUUAUUAUUAUUAUAUAUUUUUUCAAUUAGUUGUACUCAAAUUAUGGGUUUUGGAUCUUGUGGUUGUAUUCCAUAUUACAAUAUGUACGUAAUAUUUGUAGGCGUCAAGUCUGUUUAUUUAUCUUCUAAUAUUGUUAUUAAGUUUUGUUAUACUUUUUACAGGUUGUAUAUAAUAUUUAUAAGUUUUGAGCCUAUAGGAUUGUAUUUUUAUUAUUUUCGUCAUGAUAUUACCCACAUUAUUGUAUUUGAAUAAUGGAUUUCGGAUCAUUUGGUUGUAUUCCGUAUUACAAUAUAUAUGUAAUAUUCAUAGGUAUCAAGCCUAUUGAAUUGUUUUAAUAUUGUUAGGAAGUUUUGUUAUAUUUUUUACGGGUUGUAUGUAAUAGUUAUAAAGUUCGAGCCUAUUGCGUUGUAAUAUUAUUAUUAUCAUGAUGAUAUGACACACAAUAUUGAUUUUGAAUUAUGGGUUUCAAAUAUUUUAGUUUCAUUCAACAAUAUAAUGAAUGUAACGAAGCCCAUUGACUUGUAUUUUUUGUCUAUAUAAUUAAACUAUAUUCUUAUUAUUAUGAAGUUUAUUAACUUUUAUGGGUUUUAUAAGUUGCUAAACUCAGUUGUAUUAUUAUUAUUAUUAACGAGCACAAAUUAUAAUUUGAUUUUAACUAAGUUGAAGUGUAUGUUAUUUGUAUUGACAUGGAGCCGAAUGGGAUUGUAAUAAUAUUUUUGCGAUGAAUUUUAUUAUUGCUAUUAUUUAUGAUAUAUUAUGGAGAGUUGAACCGAAUUGUAAUGCAUAUUAUAUUUUUUUGAUGUGUUUGUAAAAUUUAAUUGCAUCUAAAAUUGUAUUGACCGACAACAAGGUUUAAUCUUCAAAUUUUAACAAGCAAAUAAGAUUAAAUUAAAAUAUUAUAAUAUUAAAAAUGUUAUACUAAGACAUUAUCAAUUUACUUCUUCAAUUUGAUGGUAAAUAAGACUUAAAUUGAAAUAAAAAAUAAACUGAAUUUUGUUGGCGAACUUAAUUUCUUAGUUUGUAAAUAAGAAUGUUAAUUAUUUGACAUACAAGUAUAUUUAUACAGUAUAUUGUGCUAUAUCCAGUAAUUAUAAUGUAUAAUAUUUGUGUAAAACAAUUAUAGUGUAUUGGUUUGCUAGAAAAUAGUAAUAUAAUGAAUUGUAUUCUAAAUUACAAUAAGUAUUUUUUUAGUGAGAUGAAAGUUGACGUAUUGUAAUAUUUUUAUCAGAAAGUUUCACCUACAAUUCGAUCAGAAAAAAUGAGUGCAACUACUUGCAGUUCAGUGAAAAAAAGAAAAAUUCCAACGCAAAAACGUGAAACAAAAAAGCAGAGAGUUGUUACAUUCAGUAAAAGAGGAACGGGUCUGUUUAACAAAGCAGCAGAAUUGUGUGUUCUCUGCAAUGCUCAGGUUGUAAUUUUGGUUUCUGCUCCUUUGGCCAAAGAAAAGUUUUAUACUUUUGCACACCCUAACAUCAAUCUUCUUCUCGACACAUUCCUCAAUAACCAUGUCUCUCAUCCCAUCAACAAUUACAAUAAUCUUUCUACUUCUUCGUCUCAUCAAAAUAUGGAGCAAUUAACUCCUAACAAUAAUGUGUCCAAGACCAAGAAGAGAAAGAGAGAGUCUGAAGAGUUUUGGGGGGAAAAUGAAGACUUUGAUGUUUACCAAACACCUGAAGAGGUGACAUCAAUCAUCGAGAAGUUAGAAAAUGUGAGAGAAAAUGUGGCGCUCAAACUUCAAAAAUUAUCAACUUCUAAUAAUCAAGAUAUUAACAGUAGCGAUCAUCAAAACUAUCAUCUUGGGUGCUUUGCUGAAGAUAUAAUGAACAUUAAUAAUGAGUACAGUAAAGAGAGUGGUGAUCAAAGUCAGUUUAUGACAUCCGUUGUGUUUCAGAAUUUAUCAACUUCUACUUAUCAUGGUAGUUGCAUUGAUCAAAAUAUAGUGGACAUUGAUGGAUUCAAGAACAAUGUUGAUUUUAUGCAAAUGUUGCCUCUAAAAUCUACUAUGCUUACACACAAUACCAACAAUGACAGCCAAGAUAUUGAGAAUUAUCACAAUGAUAUGGGUACUACAUUUGAAGCCCCAUUAUUCUUCUCUAAUGGCGUCGAAAAUUAUCAAGAUAUUGGUAGUGGUGAUCAUCAAAACUAUCAUCUUGGGUGCUUUGCUGAAAAUAUAAUGAAUAUUAGUCAUGAGUACAAUAAUGAAAGUGGCGAUCAGAGUCAGUUUAUGUCAUCUGUUGUGUUUCAAAAUUUAUCAACUUCUACUUAUCAAGAUGGUUGCAUUGAUCAAAAUAUGGUGAACGUUGAUGGAAACAAGAACAAUGUUGCUUUUAUGCAGAUGUUGCCUCUAAACUCUAUUAUGUUUACACACAAUACCAACAAUGGCACCCAAGAUAUUGAGAACUAUCACUGUGAUAUGGGUACUACAUUUGAACCCCCAUUAUUUUUCUCUAAUGGCAUCGAGAGAUGUGCUACGUCUUUUUGUAUUGGUGAUCAAAAUUUUAGUUGGAUGAAUGAUAAGAUCACUACUUCAUACAGUCAAAAUGAACAAUUUUCACCAUCCUUCUCCUCCGAUGACUUGGAUCACCAUAUCAAUACUUCUUUUGAGUGGGAAUUCAGAUAUGAGAAUCCUUCAUUUCUUCAAGAUAAUGCUACUGGAUUAGUUCCACUAUUUUCUCAUAGUGAUAAAGGCAUAGACAAGCAGAAUUUGUCUGAAUCAAAUUUUAAAGAUAAUAGUUUUUCAGUUACUGGAGCAACAACUGACAAUGACUUGCUUCUUGGUGACGACUAUGUUAAUUCUUCAACAAUGGAGGAUAACACUGAAUUUUUUUCAUUGUUGGAAUCUUUCUUUUCUAGUUGAUUGUAAGCUUUCUCUGUAUUUCCUUUGCAGUGUAAUAAAAUGUUCUUGUGAUCUCUCAAUUUUUUCUUUGGCAUAUUGAUCAUAGUUUAAUUCUUAUCAUCCCCUAAAUGAUGAAGUAAAUGUGUACGGAAUCAAUAUUUAUAGUCAUCAACUAUGAGAUUAAAAAAGAAAAAUUCAUACAAAUAUUUUAUACUCGACCAAUCAACCCCAAACUUAAAAAUCUCCCAAAUUAACUAGAAUUAAGAGUUAAUUUUAUUUUAUAUUUUAAAUUAAAUAGCUCUUACUUAUUAUUUGGGUUCUUAAUUAGUUUUAAAUUUUUAAUUAAUUAUUUUUUAAAAAAUAUUUAGAACAAAAUUUUAUUUAUUAUAAUAUAAUUUCAUAAUAUAAGGAUAUCGGCAUUUUAUUUUUCUAAAAAAAGAUAUCAACAUUUAUAAUUACUAUCAUUUUUUAUUUCUUUUUUCAGUUGAAAAAACAAAAAAUAAAUAUUAGAAUAUAUUCAAAAAUUUAUGUCAAACUAUAAAAAUAUUUUAUAAAUUAAAGUUUGGGUGAAAACUAAACCAAACAAACGUAAAUAAACACUUUACUAAAUAUAUGAAUUAAGCCAAUCGAACAAGCGAUUAAUAUAUUUAAACUUACCGGUAAAGAUUUUAUCCCAUAAUCAUUUUAGGGAUGAUUUAAAUUAAAAAUAUAGUUUUAUAGUAAUAUAUAUUUAAUUUAAAUAACAUAUUUAUAUAUAAUAUAUUAUUUAAAUUAUGUAGAUUUAAUCAGAAAUUUAAUUAGAUACAAAAUUUAAUUAAAUUUUAAUACUACUCAAGUUUAAUGAACUUUUAGAUUUUAAAAUUAUAAGAUUAUAUCGAAAUCGAAGUUUAUAAAAUUCGCUCAAGAUUCCAUCUAUUGUUACCCUAAACCGUGUUCAUACCAUAUUAGAAUUGAACUUUGUGAUUCAGCCGGUUGUUUGAACUUAUGAUGGUAUAGAAUCACACGGGUCCACCACCUUUAACUCAUUGAAGAAAAGCUAGACACAACGGUCAAAAAAUUUGAAAAAAGUUUGGAUGUAUCUUCUUUUAAAAGAAAUCAUUUUACCCUAUAAGUCUUUGUUUCUUUCUAAAAAUCUAUCUGGGUGUUACCAUGAAAAUGAUGAAGGCUGUGAAAAAGCUCAAAUUCUGGUCAAGAUCCAGGAAGAAAAGGAAGUACCUUGAGGAGCCCUACUACCCUGUUCUGGCGCACCAUUGCUGUUGCUGUUCAUGCUCCUCCGUCCAGCCCUCAGCUCCUCCAUUGCCACCAUGGCCUGAUGAAUUCUCAUAUCAGAUUCAAGCUGAUAAAACAGAAGGUGUAGAAGAAAGUAAAUUAAUCCAUUCAAAAUUACCUCAAGUAGACGAAGGUAUAAUCACAAGUAGGUCAAUGUAUCAGCAAUAUAUGGUUGAAAAUCAUGUGUAUGACAUGCCUGAGCCUGUUGUUGAGAUAGUUAGAAAAGAAAGAUCAGGCGGGUACGUUGUUCUUCAGCUGGGUUCUCGUCUGAUCCGCUGCUUCUGCCCAUGUUUCAGUAUAGAAGAAGCUAGGUAAAAAAGUGAUCUUCUUAAUUUGUUAGCAUACUUCUUCCUCCUAUUUUUUUUUUUUUAAAUUAAGCAAAGGUAAAAAUAUGUUCUGUACCUUUUUUUUGUGAAAAAGAAUUUUCAAUCUUAACUUUAUUGUACCUAAUAUUUUAAUGUAAUAUAAAGUUUUAAUAAAAAUUCAUACCUAACUUUGGUUGCAUUCACACCAAGCGCGGGCAAGAAAGAGCCUCAGCCAACUCCACUGUGGACGCUAUGAGCUUCUCUAUGCAAUUCUUUCUCUCUUUCUGACUAUUUGUUCUCUGUGUAUUUGCUCUUGCAAAAAAGCCAAGCAAAUAUGAGAAUCAAUGAACAAAAAAUUAGUCCUCAAAGAUGCUCAGAUUUAAAAAUACGUAAAGCUGGUGAUUCCUAAUUAUAAUGAUUUUGCUUCCAGGGGAAAACCAUUCUAGCAUUCCAAUUAUUUUAUCUAAAUGUCCCGAGUCAUCCACAUCAUCGGGAACAACAAGAACUCCUAUAAAGCAUAUAAUUCUUUUUUAUCUUACUAAUCCCCUCAUCAACAUUGUUGAACUUGUAUUUCUAAAUCUUGAUAAAUCCAAAAGAAGUUGUUCUUGUAAGUGAAGCAAACCGUGGAAAUUGUGCAGCAGUUGCUCUGACGUCUGCAAGAAAUCUUCUGUCUCUGAAUUUUUAAAUGUUCAUGUUAUAAACAGUCUUAGCAAAUAUCGUCUUCCCUGUCCCUGCAAUCCCACUUGCUAUGUCAACUCCAUUUGAUCCAUCUUGAGUUCAGGCUUGAUUUCUUCUCCAAGAUCAUCUCUUCCAACUAACUAUUGGGUGACAUCGAACAGUGCCUCAUGCCUGCCUAGAGAAAAAAAAAACGAAAGUUAUGAUUGUUUCCCAACUGCUGAAAUUUAGUAAAAAUCUCAACAAGCAGAGAACGUAGAGUUUUGAAAAUAACAGUUACACUAACCAAGUAAAUAUAAUUUAUUAUAUGCACAGUUAUCCAUGUAAAUUGAUAAUUUAAAUUUGAGAAGUGUGUUAUGGAGCACAUAUAAAAAUAAAAAUCCAUAAAACACAGGAAACUUAUAUAUUUCACAAUGCUUUCGACAAAAUUAUGGCCGUGUCUCUAAACCCUCUGCUCUAGAAUUAACACAAAGAAAAUGCAUGGUAAUAGUUUGUAGUUUAUUGAGAAGAAAGCUGAGAUCAAGCUUACAUAUGUCACAAAAAUCAUUCCUCCCAAGUCAGCAACCUCCCUCGCAGCACCUCAGCUGUUGUAUUUUGUUCUUUACAUCUUUUAGGUGCUCUUCAUGUGCGGCAAUUGUUUCAGAAAAACUCCCUCGCAGUAUACUUCCUAACAUGUGUUGGAUCUACUUCAUAGAACACUGGCAAGAUAUCUGUUCAGUGGUUCUCCUGUGUUACAUGAUCUUACCUAGUUCAUCAGGAAACCACAGAGAAGAGUCACAAUUUUAGGAGAAGAUAAUUAUUUAUAUUGAGACUCCAAUGGCUUUUUCAAGUUAUUUUAUUCAUAUCCUUUCCUCUUUCAACCCCAUCAUCAUAUUUAGAUGUACGAAUUCCUGCCCGCAGUAGGGCCCUAUAAAGGUGAUCCGUGAAGCUCCAGCACCUCGUAAACUUAAGAACAUAUACUAAGCAUAUCCAGAACAUGAGGAGGAAGCUCGCUGCUCUGCACUCGCUGCAUCCAUUGAUAACCAAAAAUUUCAGGAGUAUCGAUUGAAAGCAGAUGGGUGAUGAAUAGAUAAUAAAGCACCAAGGAUCGACAUAAAUUUGUUGGCUCAAGCAAAUCAAUUAUGAUAUUUUUUUGGAGGAAAUUUCCACUUUAACAAUCAUGAUAAGCCAGUGAGCUAAAUCACAUCUUACCAUUUGCCUUUAACAAAAUUUCCGUCUUCUUUAAUUACUCCAACAAUGCAUUUUAGCUUUUACAAGGUAUUAAUUAAUAACUACAUGUGAUAAAUACAGAGGACUUUUAGGUAUUCUUGAUUAGAUCCUAGAAUUGAUCGGAUCCUAGAGUUCUCUUCUAGGACCAAUUAUCAUUUAAGUACCAUAACUUCAUACUACAUUAAAAAUUAUCCAUAAGAUUUUGAGUUCCAUUCAAUUAGAUACUCUAAUCUUUAAUUAGUCUCCCAAUACAUCUAUCACCAUACAAAUACCUGAAGAAAAUCUCAUCCCUAACAGUCUAACCAUGUAAAUGCUUCCUUUUAUAAAUGCCACCUUAAUUUAAGUUAACAUAAUAAUUAGAAAGGGCUUUGCAAACCCUCCAGCUUCAUCCUCAUGCAUCAUCAUCUAUGAAAAAACCUAAUUGCCUUACUAAAAGCAAUUCACAAACUAAUUAAUAAUACUUAAUCCAUUAACACAUCCUUCCUAGGAAAACUUUCUGAAUAAAAAUAGCAAAUUCAUGUCUCAAGAAUCGAUUCCACAUAUAAAAUAAUUCUAAAAACGUUUUACGUGUUUUAUCUAUCACUCACAUAUAAAAUUUGCUUCAUAUUCACAUAAACAACUCAGUAGUCAACCAAAUCUAUCAAUUGUCACUUAUAGAAAUUAUGACCUAAAAAUCCCUUCUAGUAUCUGUAUUCCCAUAUACUAGGUUAAUCUUACAACUAGAGGAAAAAAGAUAAAUCACAUCAGAAUCCCGGAUGUAGAAACCUUACUCAAAUUCGGUCAAUAGGUAAAUGUCCUUUGUGUGAUGUUAUCUGGUGCACAAACAUGUAUGAACUGAUUAAUAGACAAAUUAUCCGCUUAGUGAAUCAACUUUGACCGAGCCAAUCAAACUACAUGCUGGAAUUUUUCGGAUUUUAGACUCUGCCAUCACUUUCCUCCAAUUAGCAGCAUCUCCCCACCUUUCCCCAACGGCACUUACAUCUGACAACACGAAAUAUCGGCCACAAUGUUUUGGCUGUAAUUCCCAACUGAGCUUCUUUCCUACUUCAUUUCCCAACUGAACGUCCCCAUGAAUCUUACAAGCACCAGAAAGAGCUCCCAAAACAGAGGCAUCAGGCAUGAAGGGCAUGCUAAGUGCAAACCCAACUGCAUCUCUCAGAAUUCCUGCUCUGCCCAAUAGAUCAACAACACAGCCAUAAUGCUCCAUUAUUGGUACAAUCCCAUAUCGACUUGACACUGACGGAAACAACUUCAAACCCAAGUCAACAGGUUUUGCUCGAGCACAAGAUGUAAGAAUAGCAACAAAGGUAACCUCAUUGGAGCAAAAUCCUUGCACUUUCAUCUUCUCAAACAUACAUAGAGCUUGCUUCGCCCUGCCAUGACAGGCAAGUGAAGAAAUCAUUGGAUUCCAAGUGAAAACCUCUUUAACCUCUAUCCGAUUGACUACUCUUUUUGCAGUCUCCAAACAACCUGCCUUUCCAGACAAAUCUACCAACGCAGCCCCCACGACAGCGCUCAAACUGAACCCAUUCUUAACAACAUAUCCAUGUAUCUGCUUCCCUUGAUAAAGACCAGUUCCAUCUAAAUUAGCACAAGAAGACAGCACAGUAACAAAUGUAGCCUCAUUAGGCUUCACGGAACCGCGGACCACAUCCUCGUGAUCCAUCAUCUUUGCAAAAAUCCGCAAUGCAUCAAGUCCAUUCAUCACGAACCCAUUAAUAACACUCGCCCAUGAAACCACAUCCUUCUCGGGCAUGCUCUGGAAAUACAGAAAAGCAGAACCCAUGUCUCCAUUCCUCCCAAAAGCGUCAAGUAAAGCAUUACACGCUACAAUACAUGGAUGAGGAAUUUCCACAAACAUCUCACGUGCAUUGCGUAUGUCACACACUUCGUCGUCACACAUUCACGGAUGAAGUUUGCACAAAUGGGUCGCAUAAAACACCCCAUUUGAGAGCAUGAGCAUGGAGAAUUGGACCAGAUGAGGGAGAGCAAGAAGCAGCUUUGAUUAGAGAUGGGAAAGUGAGAUGGUUUGGUGAAAGUCCCUGUGAAAUCAUGCGGGUGAAAAGUAGUAAAGAAGUACGAGAGAGUCCCGUAGAGAGAUAAGAUCAAAUGAGAGUGUUGUAAAUGAGAACGGUGUUCCAUGAAGAAGUGUGGUUGAGGAGAGAGCCGCGGGUGAUAAGAAGGGAAUGAAUCUGUUUGAUCUGGUUGGGACAGUGGAUGAAAUGCUGGAGAAGAAGCUCUGGACUUGAAUAUCCAGAAAACCCACCUGUUACCAGAAGCUUUAAAAUCAAAACUUGAUUACAUGCCUGUUCUUGUCCACCAUCUGCCCAGUUCAUAUAUUAUUAGCAUUCUUGUUCAUAUUUGUUAAUUACAAGAUUUUUGGAUCAAAUUAACAUUUUCUCAUGCUUCUUUCAAUUCAUAUAUAUAUAUAUAUAUAUAUAAAUUUAAUUCCAACCAAAAAUGAAGAAAAUUCUUUUAGUUUACUAUUUAUUUUGUGUGUUUUAAAAUAAUAAUAAUUAUUAAAUUUUAUUAAACUUAACGAGAAAAAUAUAUUUAUUUUAUUUAAUCUAUUCAAUCAUAUUAUUAAUAAAUUAAAAAAAGUUCGAUUACAACUAUUUUUCAAUCUUUCUAAUUUUUUUAAUGAAAAACAAAUCCUACUUAGAGAAUUUUUAUUAAGUUUUUAACACUUUGUAUAUUAAUUAAAAUCGAGUCUAAAAGAAUUAUGAACUCAACUUGAAAAAAAACUUUAACAUUCACAAGAUCGAGAACAAAAUUAAUAUUUUAAGUUAUAAAACUUACACAUUAAAAACUAGAAAAUAACCAACCCUAAUACCCAAAGAAAAGAAAGCGAUAAAAGUAUCCAUGAAGGUUCGGCUCAUUGAAAAUCACAAAUUACCAUCUUCAAUUCAUUGACAAUAAUCAUAAAUUACCCUCUUCGAAAAUUCUUAUAUUUCAUUUCGGUCCUUCUAUCUUCGUUUCUCCGCUAAUUUUUCAUAAUGAUUAAUUUGCAAUCGUUAUGCUUGCAACAUCAUUGUGAAAAUUGUCUACCACUGUGCAAUAUGCUUGCAGUCAAUUGCUUCAGACUUUUGGAGUAUUUGACUCGAUCAUCUUAUAUGCAUAAAUAAUAUAGUAAUACCCCACUCAUUUAGAGUGUUAUCUUGAGGUUGUAGGUUUUAGAGAGACUUUUUAAAAAGCAUGAGAUUGUCAAAUCUUACUAAUUGAACACUAGCUCAGAGUUCUACAACAAAGAAAAAAAAAAAAUUGACAGCCAAACUAUUACCAUAACCUUCGUAAAAUACAUUUUUGUGUAAAACUUUGAGCUUCACAAGACUAGGGCAAAGAACAAGUUCAUCUAUUGUUAGUUCCGGGCUAUAAUAUAUGAAUGUUCAUGCAUAAGCCUAUGGGAAGUAAGUCAUGCAAGAGGUCAGAAUAAAGGAAACACACGAUAUGGAGUUUUGUCUGUAGUAGGAUUUUGGUGGACAGAUUGGAACUGCUAGGAGUAGCUGCUGUAUUCCUCACACGACUUUAUGUAUCUUGUUUAGGUGGAGUAUGGUAUUUAGUGAAAAAUAUUUCAUCAGGAAAGAAUGAGACUUGCCUUAUAAAGACUUUGGGUAUUGCAGUUUUACUGUUUUGUUUCGGCAAUGGAGUGCUUAGUGCUGGUUCAAGUUUUGGGUAAAGACUGAAAACUAGUCAGCUCCACCUUCCUUGCAUGAUAUUAAUCAAGGGCUAUAUGCUCUUCCAUCUCAAGUUGUUUUUCUUUUUUGUUCCUUUUAUUUUUUCUACGAAUGAGCUGGAUGAAAUAGUACGGUUGGCUUCUAUAUAUAAAUAAUAUAUACCUUUAAUCUCUUUUGAUUUUCGGUACAUGAAUAUAUGACUUGUGAACAGCUUCUCCUGAAGGAAAUUAUUGAAGCAGGUAGUCUCUUUUAUUUUAUCUUAUUUCAACUUAUUCUUCUAUUGAUCCGAAUACAUAUUUAAGUUAUUUUGUUUUUCUUUUCGAGAUUUUCUAUAGUUUUUUAUGUGAUUAUUCCUUACUGAGUAUCCUAUUAUGGUAUAGAUUGGAAUAUAAUAAGUAAUAAUUUUUCAUUACUGCUAUCAAUGAACAUUAAUUAGAUAAGUUGUAAGGGAAUAUAUAUACUAUUCUAUUUUUUCUAUUCUGAGUUUGAUUUAUUAAGGGGAGUUUAGGAAUCAGAAUCUUAAAUUCAUUAGAUCAAUGUGGAAGAGUCAUUAAGUUAACAUUUUGAGACAAUAAAAUAUUUUUAUUAAAUAUUAGUGCAAUUUAAUUUGUUGUUUUAAAUUUAAUUUAUUAGUAUUAUUUGUGAUAUUGUUUCAAAAUUAUUUUUAAAAAAAUCAUGUCUUCAUAUAAUAUUUAACCUUCACCUUGAAAAAAUUAAAAUAAUGAUAUAUUUAAUUAACUAAUUUGAUAAUAUACAUUCAAUUUAAUAUUUAUUCGUAUAGUCGUAUAAUUUAAUAAAUUAUUAAAUAUAAAGAUAAAGAUAUAAGAUAUUUAUUAUUAAGUAUACUUUUAUAAUAGCUUUAGUUUCAAAGUUUGAUUUAAUAGUUAAAUUUAAUUUUUAGGAAAAAUAAAUAAUAAUUUUUAAGUAUAUAUUUUAUGAUUUUUUUGGUAUUUUUAAUUUGUUUGUUAUACAUUAUUAUUUUGCUUGCAAAUUAUAGUUAUAAUUAUAAUUAUAAUUAAAUUAAUUUAAUAGCCCAGUUUUUUCCAACCCAUAACCUACAAACGACAGCGUUUUGGAAGAGGUUAUUGGCGGGAAGGGGGAGGGUUUAAAGGGAAUUUAGAAAGGUUUAGGGGCAAAAUUGGAAAUACAGCUGUUCCCAACGGUCUUCUUCUCUCUAUAUAUAUUGCACCGACCACUCCAUUCUUCUCUACUCAGCUUUCAGACAGAUCACAUUCCUUCUUCCCUUUCCUCCCGAUUCUCUCUGUUCAUUGGAAGCGUUUCGUUUCCUUCCGAUUUCUCUCAAAUUCAAUCGACUGCUUCGACUUUGCUUCUCCGCUCGCUUCUCUGGUAAGGAUCUCCACUGCCGCUUUUUUUUUUUUUUUUCCAUUAAAGAUUCAUAUUGCAAAUUUUCUUCUUUAAUUUUGUCAAACAACUCUUUAAUAUUUGUGGUUCUUUUAAUAUUUGUGAUUCUUUUACGAGAUAAAACAUAAAAUCAUGUACUCUGAGUCAGAUCUGGAAUCCACCGUAACACUCAUUUAGGGAAAAGUCACCAAAAUCUAAGAUCCGUGUAAUCCUUUUUCGGUAACAAACGACCAAUAAAAAAUAUUAAAAAAGAAACCCAGAAAAUCCUCUGUGAAAAUAAAAAAACGAAAAGAGAUCAAAACCCUAGAUCUUGAAAUAAGACUGAUUACUUCUCCCUGGUUUUUCUGUAAUUAGGUUGUGUGGAGUUUUGGAUUGGAGAAUCUUGAAAUGAAUCUGUAAAAUGCAAUCUUUGUAAUGUUAUUAAGGUUUGAGCUCACCAUUACAACGUAAUGGCCUCAAACCCCAUGGAGGAGUCCUAAUCAUAAUGUAUCUUUGUUUUUUAACUGGGUACAAAUUGCAAUGGUGGUGGUUCUGCUAUUUGGGGUUUGAGGACUAAUUAUAAUGUAUAUAAUUUUCAUUUAGUUUGAGGACAAACUACAAUUGUAUAAUGGAUUGUAUUAUUACGGGUUCUCUGCAUAUUAUUAUGUUUGUUAUUUCAAUUAUUCGGGGCUUAUAGUGAAAUCCAAUGUAUAUUAUUUUUAUUGGAUGAGAAGCCUAUUGGGUUCUAUUAUUAUUAUAUAUAUUAUAUAUUAGUUGUACUCAAAUUAUGGGUUUUGGAUCUUGUGGUUGUAUUCCAUAUUACAAUCUGUAUGUAAUAUUUGUAGGCGUCAAGUCUGUUUAUUUAUCUUCUAAUAUUGUUAUUAAGUUUUGUUAUACUUUUUACAGGUUGUAUAUAAUAUUUAUAAGUUUUGAGCCUAUAGGAUUGUAUUUUUAUUAUUUUCGUCAUGAUAUUACCCACAUUAUUGUAUUUGAAUAAUGGAUUUCGGAUCAUUUGGUUGUAUUCCGUAUUACAAUAUAUAUGUAAUAUUCAUAGGUAUCAAGCCUAUUGAAUUGUUUUAAUAUUGUUACGAAAUUUUGUUAUAUUUUUUACUGGUUGUAUGUAAUAGUUAUAAAGUUCGAGUUUAUUGCGUUGUAAUAUUAUUAUUAUCAUGAUGAUACGACACACAAUAUUGUAUUUGAAUUAUGAGUUUCGGAUCAUUUGGUUGUAUUCCAUAUUACAAUAUGUAUGUAAUAUUCAUAGACAUCAAGCCUAUUGAAUUGUUUUAAUAUUGUUAUGAAAUUUUGUUAUAUUUUUUACGGAUCGUAUAUAAUAUUUAUAAGCUUUGAGCCUAUUGGGUUGUAUUAUUAUUAUUAUCAUCCUAAUAUUACAUACAUUAGUGUAUUUGAAUUAUAGAUUUCGGAUCAUUUGGUUGUAUUCAAUAUUACAAUAUAUAUGUAAUAUUCAUAGGUAUCAAGCCUAUUGAAUUAUUUUAAUAUUGUUACGAAGUUUUGUUAUAUUUUUUACGGAUUGUAUGUAAUAGUUAUAAGUUUCGAGCCUAUUUCGUUGUAAUAUUAUUAUUAUCACGAUGAUAUGACACAAUAUUGUAUUUGAAUUAUGAGUUUCGGAUCAUUUGGUUGUAUUCCAUAUUACAAUAUGUAUGUAAUAUUCAUAGGUAUAAAGCCUAUUGAAUUGUUUUAAUAUUGUUACGAAAUUUUGUUAUAUUUUUUACGGGUUGUAUGUAAUAGUUAUAAGUUUCGAGCCUAUUUCGUUGUAAUAUUAUUAUUAU